GACGAACCGAGCAAACGUUGUUCGGAAUCACUGGGCUUAAAGGGCGCGUAGGCGGGUGCUCAAGUCCGGGGUGAAAUCCUCCAGCUCAACUGGAGAACUGCCUCGGAUACUGGGUGCCUCGAGGGUGGUAGGGGUAUGCGGAACUAUCGGUGGAGCGGUGAAAUGCGUUGAUAUCGAUAGGAACUCCGGUGGCGAAGGCGGCAUACUGGACCACCUCUGACGCUGAGGCGCGAAAGCCAGGGGAGCGAACGGG
rnacentral:rRNA from 1 species